GGAAGGGUGUCCGAGUCUGGCCUAAGGAGCACGACUGGAAAUCGUGUGGGCGGCGAAAGCUGCCUCGAGGGUUCGAAUCCCUCCCCUUCCGCCA
rnacentral:tRNA from 1 species